GUAGAGCAGCGGUUUUGUAAACCGAAGGUCGCGGGUUCGAUCCCUGCACUCGGCA
rnacentral:tRNA from 1 species